rnacentral:rRNA from 1 species
CAGUAGCCGCGGUAACACGAAGGGUGCAAGCGUUAAUCGGAAUUACUGGGCGUAAAGCGUGCGUAGGCGGUUUGUUAAGUCUGCUGUGAAAUCCCCGGGCUCAACCUGGGAAUGGCAGUGGAUACUGGCAAGCUAGAGUGUGUCAGAGGAUGGUGGAAUUCCCGGUGUAGCGGUGAAAUGCGUAGAGAUCGGGAGGAACAUCAGUGGCGAAGGCGGCCAUCUGGGACAACACUGACGCUGAGGCACGAAAGCGUGGGGAGCAAACAGGAUUAGAUACCCCUGUAGUCCCUGUCUCUUAUAC